GAAAUGCGAUAAGUAAUGUGAAUUGCAGAAUUCAGUGAAUCAUCGAAUCUUUGAACGCACAUUGCGCCCGGGAGCAUUCUCCCGGGCAUGCCUGUUCGAGCGUCAUUUCAACCCUCGACCUCCCCUUGGGGAGGCCGGCCGUUGGAGAUCGGCAGCGAUUGCCGGCUCCCAACUUCAGUGGCGACCCGCCGCGGGGACCCCUGCGCAGUAACAUACACUCGCACCGGAAACCAGACGUGUCACGCCGUAAAACCCCAACUUUCUGAACGUUGACCUCGGAUCAGGUAGAAAUACCCGCUGAACUUAAGC
rnacentral:misc_RNA from 1 species